rnacentral:lncRNA from 1 species
ACCAGUCACUGCCUCACGGUAUCACAAACCCUCACUGUCACACACAAAUCACUGAAACCAGCACUCAAGCCGUCAAGCACAAGCAGCCAACCCACACCCAUUCACGCCUCACGGCCUCCGUCGCUCACCACACGCAGCAAACACACACGCACAGUUCACAGAGCUACCUUCAACCGGCCACCACACGCAGCAACCGCUGCCGAGAACGACCCCAACCG